ACGGGAGGCAGCAGUGGGGAAUAUUGCGCAAUGGGGGCAACCCUGACGCAGCAACGCCGCGUGAGCGAUGAAGGUUUUCGGAUCGUAAAGCUCUGUUCUGAGGGAAGAUAAUGACGGUACCUCAGGAGAAAGCCCCGGCUAACUACGUGCCAGCAGCCGCGGUAAUACGUAGGGGGCAAGCGUUGUCCGGAUUCACUGGGCGUAAAGAGCACGUAGGCGGUUAAUUAAGUCAGGUGUGAAAGUUUUCGGCUCAACCGGAAAAGUGCACUUGAAACUGGAUAACUUGAGUAUCGGAGAGGUAAGCGGAAUUCCUAGUGUAGCGGUGAAAUGCGUAGAGAUUAGGAAGAACACCGGUGGCGAAGGCGGCUUACUGGACGAUAACUGACGCUGAGGUGCGAAAGCGUGGGGAGCGAACAGGAUUAGAUACCCUGGUA
rnacentral:rRNA from 1 species